rnacentral:misc_RNA from 1 species
AACGCACCUUGCGCCCUUUGGCUAUUCCAGAGGGCAUGCCUGUUUGAGUAUCAUGAACACCUCAACUCUCAUGGUUUUGCCGUGAUGAGCUUGGACUUUGGGGGUCUUGCUGGCCUGUGGCCGGCUCCUCUCAAAUGAAUCAGCUUGCCAGUGUUUGGUGGCAUCACGGGUGUGAUAACUAUCUACGCUUGUGGUUCCCCACCAGGUAACCUUCAGUGAUGGAGGUUUGCUGGAGCUCAUAAACGUCUCUCCUUAGCGAGGACAGUUUCUUGAACGUUUGAUCUCAAAUCAGGUAGGGCUACCCGCUGAACUUAA